ensembl:lncRNA
GUUAAAACUAAGUAAAAUUUGCUCUCUCUUUCUGCCUCCCUGUUUUUCUACAUAAAUCGAUCAUUUAUACUAUUAAAACUAACUGCGAUUUUACCUGUAAGCUGUGUUAUAGCACUGGGAUCAGCUUGCUCUAGUAAAACAGCAUGUAAAAAAAACAUGUAAUGAUAAAAUAAUAUACAAAAGGUUUGCACAGUGUAGCUAUUGUAAUUUCUGGCAAAUUAAAGCAUUGAUUUGGAAGGCCGAGGCUUUGCCAUGUUCCAAGUGCUGCUUUAAAAAUCAAUAUGCCAAGAGGAACAGAUGGGAGAAGGCAUUGUGGACAGAAUUCUUUACGCGAUAUUUACAUAUCUAACUAGGCAACUGACGCUCCAAGAUCCAGUCAGCUGCUGUCUCAAGACCUCAAGCCUCACGUCUGAUGAUUUAUUAGGCUUCUGGCACUGGUGAAACUCACUACCUGGCUGUCUUCCGCCCUUCUCUGCGGGUGUGUGUGGAGAGUGCACAUGUGCAUGUGUGUGUGUAUGUGUGUGUGUCAGUUUGAUUCUUGGCAUGUGUAUCUGUAUGUGUGUGUGCAAAUUUGUAUUCAUUUCCAUAUGUCUGUGUUUGCUUGUCUGGGGUCCUAUGUGUUAGUGCAUAUGUCUGUGUGUAUGUUUGAAGGUUUUUUUGUUUGUUUGUUUUUAGGUGUGGUUUGCAUGGACACUGAAACUUACUAUAUGACUUUAUGCUGGGACUGAAAUUGGCACAGCAUCUCGUUUGAAACAACAAAAUGUCUCGCUGUCUUCCUGCCUCUCUGCCAGCACCUGCUGCCUCUGUGAGUCUCUGUUUGUAUGUCAGACUUUACCUCUCAGCACCACUGAGCAUGGAGCCGUCCCUCAGACAAAAGGCAGAGGACAUUUAAACAAAGCAAUAUAAGGCUGCACUGAAAUAAUUCAAGGUUAGAGCUACAAACAGUCAGGACAGUUAGUUUAGUCAAAUGACAAAAGGCAGAGUGCAGUCUUGCAUGACAGAUCAGAUGUCUCAGUUUUUGAGCAAUGGUAUACAUAAGUCACAGAGGUAGAGGUUAUGGAGCUUUCUAGAGUAUUAGAAUAUUGUAAUGUGUUUUACAGUCACAGAUGACUCUCUCUUUCCCUUUCGUUCCUCAUUCAUCCUGAGUUUUUGCACCGUACAGUCGUGAUAGCUGCCUGGUGCGAUGGGACCAACAGUGAUGCCUUCGCCAUUCUAAUGACUCUACUUAUUUUUGAAAUGCUGUAGGACACCCUGCACCAUUACACAGUCUAUCCGUCUUCACCAAACAGCCAAUCCGCCACAUCUGAAGCCUGCUUUACUGCUGCGGGG